CAGGGCCGUUUCUAGGCACAGGCGACAAAGGCGGUCGCCUGGGGCGCCAUUUGCUGGGGGGGGGCGCCAAAUUGGCAUCCAAAAUUAAUAUUGUUACGCGGGGUACGAUAAUGUGCUGUAGGCGGAGAGGCGGAGCUGGGCGAGCGGGAACGGCGAGUUGAAGGCGGGGGAUUGUUUUGGUUUUGCCCUGGGACGCUGGUGGUAAUUCCUGCACUCUGGUGUCUUCCUACUGUCUUGGGCUCGCCUGGAGGGCUGCGCCUAGCCUGUGGGAGACUGUAGCUCAGUGGAGAGCUGUGGAUCUGACGGGGAAGUGCCUACAGUACGGACAGUGUGAGAGUGCUGGAGGGAGUGACGGCGGAGCUGGCUGGCUGACGCGGACACGUACUGCCGGUUACCUGAGUGCCUCUACUCACCUGGCCCUUCCCCCCCACAUACACCCCCACGCUAACGGACCGGGCAGUCCGCUGGCAUAUCUUGCUCCUGGGAGGAGCCUGGACGAGGUGCAGGAAGUUUGUCCUUGCCUCUUCCUCCGACCCGCGGUUUCUUCCACUGCCAUGAACUGUGUGUGAGCUGUGCCACCCUUUUGUGUUUGUAAAUAAAGGAGGUGAAGUUAGUGAAGCCUGCCUUUUAGUAGACCACCCCUCCCCUCUCCCCUGCCUGCAAGUGUCUUGUCCUCCAGCCUCAGUGUGUCAUUAUCUGUACAACAAAUCAAUCUGCUACAGGCCCCGCACUUCGUUAAUCCAACUCAGCUGUCAAGCAUUUAAGCUUUUAUCCAUCAUGAAGAGGCAGUUCAAGCUGUCAGGUGCAGCAAACAAGAAAAGAAAAAAGGAGGAAGAGGAAAAACGAGUCCAAAGUAGAGGUGGUCGACCCUAAAAAAACAUGUGGACACAACUUUGAAAUCCUGGGCAGACACACGGUGGGAGAGUCGAAUCAACAGUGUUGAGGUUGUAAGAUUCCAGGCUGCAAAAGUGAGAGAUGCUCUUUUAGAGGUCAGAGCAAGCACUGCAGAUCCAGCCAUUAAAAUUGAAGCACAAGCCUUAGCAGAAGAGGUGGGAUCAUACCGGUUCUCUUAUCCUUAGAAAAAUUCAAACUGUGAAUAAACUUCUGCAAUCACAAUGCAUGCAUCUUGAUGUAGCUGUUGACAUUCUCAAGAAGACUGAAACCUCCCUUAUUAGCUACAGAGACACUGGGUUUGCUGAUGCCCAGACAUCUGCCAGAGAGAUGUGUGAAGAGAUGAAUGUGGAAGCUGCACUAAAGCAGAAAAGACUCAGAACUACUAAAGGCAAUUCUCUUAUGAGGCCCCUGAUGAGCCUAUUACCGAUGCCUUGAAGAAAAUAGAGUUUUCAUUUUUCAGUGUAGUUGUGGAUGUGGCCAUUGAAUCCCUGAGAGAGAGAACUGGAAUGAUGAGUGAUGUUGCAAAGAAAUUCAGUGUUCUCAUAAACUUCCCUGACCUGCCAGCUAGUGAGCUAGAAAAGCAGGCAAAAGAUUUGUGUAAUACGCUCACAUCUGGGGAUCAGGCUGACUUAAAUUAUGAUGAACUGAUUGUAGAGAUGCAGUCAUUUCCAAAACAAUGGCCAAAGCAAAAUAUGACAACAUUAGACCACCUUGUUUUUCUGGAGGAGAAAGGCCUGAAAGAGAUUUAUCCAAACAUGUGGGUGGCAUUAAGAAUUGCUGUCACUACACCUGUGACUGUGGCAUCUGCAGAGAGAAGCUUCUCUAAACUUAAGCUCAUUAAAACAUAUUUAAGGUCUACUAUGUCACAGGAGCGCCUAAAUGGGCUGGCAAUAAUUAGUAUUAAUAGAGAAAUAUCCAAACAGAUUUCGUAUGAUGACACUAUAGAUGAUUUUGCUGCAAGGAAGUCAAGAAGAAUCAGGUUUUAAAUAUGAAAAGAAGUGAAGGAAAGUUUUAUUUAAUAGUUUUAGCAUAGACCUCAACAUUUAUACAUUGAGUUCUUUGGUUUUAGAUUGGCAAGAUUACCUUUUCAGUUUACCUUAGGUAGGAUUUGCAAUAAAAUGUAUAAUGAACCUAUGUGCAAUUCUGAACUUGGCUAAAGAAUGUUCAAAUAUAGUGCUCGAGAUUAUUUAAUGAGCUUCCAAAUAAUGUUAAGUGUAGUGAUAAUAUUGUUACUUUAAAGAAGAGGCUAAAAAUUUUAUUUUUAUGGAUUGCUAUGAUUUAGAUGAGAUGUGUAUUAAUGAACACUAUGCCUUAUAAGAAAUAGAAGAUUUAUGGAAAUGCUUUAUAACAUGAAAAUGUGAUACAUGCUGUGAACUGAUGGAAAUGUUUUAUAACAUGAAACUGUGAUACAUGCUGUGAAUUGAUGGAAAUGCUUUAUAACAUGAAACUGUGAUACAUGCUUUGAAUUGAUUUAAUGUAUGUGGCUCUGUAGAGUGUAGAUCACAAAAAAUCCUUGUCGAAAAAGCCAAAAAUAAGCCAAUCAAGAUAAAAGAUAAUAAGAUAAUGGUGUUAUUCUAUUAAAAUUUACAAAAAUCA